CAGCCGUAAACUAUGCUCGCUAGGUGUCAGGCAUGGCGCGACCGUGUCUGGUGCCGCAGGGAAGCCGUGAAGCGAGCCACCUGGGAAGUACGGCCGCAAGGCUGAACUUAAAGGAAUUGGCGGGGGAGCACAACAACGGGUGGAGCCUGCGGUUUAAUUGGACUCAACGCCGGACAACUCACCGGGGGACGACAGCAAUAUGUAGGCCAGGCUGAAGACCUUGCCUGAAUCGCUGAGAGGAGGUGCAUGGCGUAGACGUCU
rnacentral:rRNA from 1 species